GCGCUGCUAGUUUAUCGGUAGAACUUCUCGUUGCCAACGAGGCGGGCCGGGUUCGACUCCCGGGUGGCGCA
rnacentral:tRNA from 1 species